rnacentral:rRNA from 1 species
UAGGGAAUCUUCGGCAAUGGGGGCAACCCUGACCGAGCAACGCCGCGUGAGUGAAGAAGGUUCUCGGAUCGUAAAGCUCUGUUGUAAGUCAAGAACGAGUGUGAGAAUGGAAAGUUCACACUGUGACGGUAGCUUACCAGAAAGGGACGGCUAACUACGUGCCAGCAGCCGCGGUAAUACGUAGGUCCCGAGCGUUGUCCGGAUUUAUUGGGCGUAAAGCGAGCGCAGGCGGUUUGAUAAGUCUGAAGUUAAAGGCUGUGGCUCAACCAUAGUUCGCUUUGGAAACUGUCAAACUUGAGUGCAGAAGGGGAGAGUGGAAUUCCAUGUGUAGCGGUGAAAUGCGUAGAUAUAUGGAGGAACACCGGUGGCGAAAGCGGCUCUCUGGUCUGUAACUGACGCUGAGGCUCGAAAGCGUGGGGAGCGAACAGGAUUAGAUACCCUGGUAGUCCACGCCGUAAACGAUGAGUGCUAGGUGUUGGGUCCUUUCCGGGAUUCAGUGCCGCAGCUAACGCAUUAAGCACUCCGCCUGGGGAGUACGACCGCAAGGUUG